rnacentral:snRNA from 1 species
UCACAAAGGUGGCUUUCCCUGGGAGCAGGUUUAUUCAUUGCACUCCGGAUGUGCUGACUCCUGCAAUUUCCCCAAAUGUGGGAAACUCGACUGCAUAAUUUGUGGUAUUGAGGGAAUGUGUUCAUGCUCUCCCCUG